GACUCGGAGACAUUAAGAAGGCCCCACCCAUGCCCGGGUGGGGGGCGCAGCGCCCAGGGCGGCGCCUUAAACCCACUCUCUGCGUACACAUCCACGUUGCUUCCCCGGGAUUGGACCACACGUCCCGGGGGAGGACCUGCCCAGAGCACACGAUGCUGGCCAACAUACAUGUCCACCCCUCCCCCCUGUCUGAAGGCCGGCGUGGCCAUGGAGGAGAAGGAGCGAGCGAGCGACGAGACUAAUGCAAAAAACUUUCAACAACGGAUCUCUUGGUUCCCGCAUCGAUGAAGAACGCAGCGAAAUGCGAUAAGUAAUGUGAAUUGCAGAAUUCAGUGAAUCAUCGAAUCUUUGAACGCACAUUGCGCCCCCUGGCAUUCCGGGGGGCAUGCCUGUUCGAGCGUCUCCGAGAAGAAGACUCACGCUUGGUAAUGCGUGGUGGUGGCGGCGGUGGCGGCCCCGACAGGGAGGCCACCCCGGCGGAAUACAUGGGCGGACGACCGCCGCGUCGCAGAGCGUGAUAUUUCGCUAUCGCCUCGAGCGCGGAGAGGCUGCCAGCCCUGGCCAGAUGCCAGCAGCGUGGCGCGGCGCGACACUGUGCUGUCGCCUCGAGCGCGGCUAGGCGACCAAUCCCUCGCCCACGGGCAGGGCUUGGGAGACUGGGAGAACAUGACACCGGAACUCCUCGAAUCAGGUAGGGAUACCCGCUGAACUUAAGCAUAUCAAAAAGCCGGAGGAAAAGGGAAGGCCC
rnacentral:rRNA from 1 species